CUGAGAUCUUGCCCUAGACUACCCACCUCCCAGCUGCAAAAGAGAAGGGCUUUAGUUCUUCCCCAACUUGUGGAGUCUGCAGGCAGGAUUCACACCCUCCCCACCAGGUUCUGGCCAGGAGGCUCCUCCAUGGGUUCAAACUGUUACAAAGUUCAGCUGGAGACUUCCUUCUCUCUGUGGUGUUUUCUCCCCACUGCUGGCUGCCCUCCUGAAGGAUCCCUGUGAGGCCAGGCAGGAAUGGCUUGCCUGGGGACCCAGCAGGCUCCCAGGGCCUUUCCCGCUGCCUUCUCUGCCCUUGUAUUUCACUCAACUCUCUAAAGUGACUCAGCUCCAGAUGACCUGAAAAGUUUCCACUGCACCUGCUGGUGGACUCUGGAAUUGCAGAAAGAGUGGCUAAGGUGCUGCUACCUCUCCUGGAAGACAUGCAAAUUCUAAUUCACUUCAAUAAGCACAAUUACUCUCUCCCAGGUGGGUUGCUUCACAUCUGAGGAAACCGAGAUCAGAAAAAGCAGUAUGGAUUAGAGGACACCUGCAUCAGAAUCCUUAAGCUCUACUCUGUUCUGCUGAAUCAAACUCUCUGGGGGAUGGAGCCUAAGAAUCUGCAUUUUAACAACUCUCCAUGUAAUUUAUGUUCUAUAAAACUGGAGAGCCACUGCCUUGUAGAAAAAACUCUUUCUUAUCUUCC
rnacentral:lncRNA from 1 species